rnacentral:rRNA from 1 species
UCGCGGCCUAUCAGCUUGUUGGUGAGGUAGUGGCUCACCAAGGCGACGACGGGUAGCCGGCCUGAGAGGGUGACCGGCCACACUGGGACUGAGACACGGCCCAGACUCCUACGGGAGGCAGCAGUGGGGAAUAUUGCACAAUGGGCGCAAGCCUGAUGCAGCAACGCCGCGUGAGGGAUGACGGCCUUCGGGUUGUAAACCUCUUUUAGUAGGGAAGAAGCGAAAGUGACGGUACCUGCAGAAAAAGCACCGGCUAACUACGUGCCAGCAGCCGCGGUAAUACGUAGGGUGCAAGCGUUGUCCGGAAUUAUUGGGCGUAAAGAGCUCGUAGGCGGCUUGUCGCGUCUGCUGUGAAAACCCGAGGCUCAACCUCGGGCCUGCAGUGGGUACGGGCAGGCUAGAGUGCGGUAGGGGAGAUUGGAAUUCCUGGUGUAGCGGUGGAAUGCGCAGAUAUCAGGAGGAACACCGAUGGCGAAGGCAGAUCUCUGGGCCGUAACUGACGCUGAGGAGCGAAAGCAUGGGGAGCGAACAGGAUUAGAUACCCUGGUAGUCCAUGCCGUAAACGUUGGGAACUAGAUGUAGGGCCUGUUCCGCGGGUUCUGUGUCGUAGCUAACGCAUUAAGUUCCCCGCCUGGGGAGUACGGCCGCAAGGCUAAAACUCAAAGGAAUUGACGGGGGCCCGCACAAGCGGCGGAGCAUGCGGAUUAAUUCGAUGCAACGCGAAGAACCUUACCAAGGCUUGACAUAUAGAAGAACGCUGUAGAGAUACAGAACUCUUUGGACACUCCUAUACAGGUGGUGCAUGGUUGUCGUCAGCUCGUGUCGUGAGAUGUUCGGUUAAGUCCGGCAACGAGCGCAACCCUCGUCCUAUGUUGCCAGCACGUUAUGGUGGGAACUCAUGGGAUACUGCCGUGGUCAACACGGAGGAAGGUGGGGAUGACGUCAAAUCAUCAUGCCCCUUAUGUCUUGGGCUUCACGCAUGCUACAAUGGCCGAUACAAAGGGCUGCGAUACCGCGAGGCGGAGCGAAUCCCAAAAAGUCGGUCUCAGUUCGGAUUGGGGUCUGCAACUCGACCCCAUGAAGUCGGAGUCGCUAGUAAUCGCAGAUCAGCAACGCUGCGGUGAAUACGUUCCCGGGCCUUGUACACACCGCCCGUCAAGUCAUGAAAGUCGGUAACACCCGAAGCCGGUGGCCUAACCCUUGUGGAGGGAGCUGUCGAAGGUGGGGCUGGA